CAAUGUGGCAAUCGAGAACUGAUUUUUUUUAUAAGAUUUUAAUACUUCUUGAAACUUUUAAGAGAUUUUAGUCUCUGUGUAACUAACGCCUCGUCAAUAUUUAUAAUCAUGUCCUCCUAAUUAAUUCUCUGAAUUUUUUUUUUUUUUGAUAAAGCAAAAUAUUGAAAAAACAGAAUAGUUGAGUACUCUCAGAUCAACGAUUGGAAUGACUGUUAACAAGGAAGUAUUGCGUUUAGUUAGGUUUCUUUUCUUUUUUAUUAUUCUCUUUUAAGCAGACCUUCAGCUCAUCAAUGGGUGUUUCCAUUUCAUGUAAUACCUGCUCAUAACUACCUCCAUUUUUGCCUUUAACUUAAUUAAGAAAUUUUAACAGAAAUACGGAAAACUCAUUUUCGAAUUCUUAUUUCUUUGUCAUAGGUUAUGGAUUAACGAUACAGAUAAUGUGGUGUGUAGCUAUUUUUUGCGAUGAUGGUGAUAUCAGGAUCGUAUGUCAAAAAUGGCUUGUCAAAUCUACAGAAGGCAAUGUCCGAUGUUGGUAUCCAACUGCUAUUGAUGGCAACAAAUUGAACCGUCUGUUGGCGGAAAACACAGGUCCUGAUCAAGAGAACUGGGGAAUGGUAGCAAUUGAAAUCCUAAAGGACAAAAUAGGAACCCUCAUCGAUGCUCGAAAAAUAGCUAAAAAGCUGAGGAUGAAGAAACAAGCUUAUCCCUCACUGAACCGGAAAACAUGGGUCGGGGGCGAAGAAAAAAGAAGAGCAGCCAAAGGGUCUUGUCUCUUUCUUCUAGUGAUGAAGAAAACCCUUCCGCACUAUCAACAGUUUCGAAGAGGUCUCGACGACAAGAGGAGCCACCUCAAUCACUCCUAAGGAUACAAUCCCUUAAGUGGCCUACCAGUUGUAUUGAUAAAGCUGGUAGACUACCAUUUUCAGAUCUAAAUCAAAUUAGUAGACCGCAAGGUGUUGCAUCUUCAACUCAGAAACCACCCCCCUCCUCUAGUAAUGCUCCCAAGACUACCCACAAGACUGGUACACCCCAGCCUCCGAGCCAUUUUCAAAAUUCCAAUCAAGUGAAGGGCUUCGCUGCCUCAACUCAGAAGCCAACCCCCUCCUCCAGUCAUGCUGCCACGACCACUGAUAAGACUGGUCCUGUACCGAUCACCAGUCAAAGGAAAAAAUAUCCAAAAGUGCAGAUUCCUAAUUCUAAAACAUCAACCCAUUCAAGUGCUGCACAUUAUGCACCGCCUCCAAGCACUAAUUUUGAUCCACGGGUUCAGGUUGACAGAACCUCUGCCGGUGAAAUUAUUCAAAAACUCGCAAAUUUCCAAGAACAAUUGAAUCGGAUUGAGAAGAUUACUGUGCAGACAGCCUCAAAGGUAGUUGCACUGAGCAAUGUAAGUGGGGACGUGCCCACAGCUCUGAUAGAAAUUCAAUCAAAGCUUUCAGAUCUUCUGUUAGUCGAAAAUAAUAGGCUGAGAGAUGAAAUCCUGCAAAAUUUACCGAUCAAUGAUGAUAUGGCUCUGAAUGAAUUUGAAGCCAAGUUAAUAGACCCGAAAUUUCGCUCUGCUUUUGUAAGUUUGCAUCAUCUUUUGUUUUCCUCUCAUUUCCUGAUCAAUUCGUGUUUUCAUUCUCUGCUUCCCUCAAACUACGUUAAAUACCUUUCAAACCAAACUUCUUUGUGUGUAAUCAAAAUAAGUAUUGAUGAAACAGAAGAGUUUCUUGAGAAGUUCAACUGUUUGAAAAAAAAUGACAAUUUUAGAAGAAUUAUCCAAGAAACAUUUUCAGUUAUUUUCAAAUUUUUCCUGCACAAAUAGACUAGUUUCUUGGUAAGUAACAUGGAUUUUAGUAAAAUCCUAGAAGUAUCCUCGUAUAACAUACAUAAAGAAAGGGGGUGAGGCAGAAAAACAAAUGAAUAUCUUUCUUUUCUUAAGACUAUUGUGUAGUUUUCUGCAGGUCUGGGCCCUUUUUUCUUUUCCUCUUGUUAUUCCAUUCUGGUCUUGUUGUUAAUGUUCAUUUUUUUUGUAGAUAAAGUUUAUGGCUACCAAAGGCAGCACUAAAAUGUGUCGCUAUGUGUAAAGAAGCUAAUGAAGGAGUUGUUAGUGGAUACGUUUGCCAUCAAUUACUGCAUGACAGGUCACCUUGGAAAAAAGCCUUUUAUGGAUAACAGAAACCUUUUUGAAUCAAUAGCAGGUAACACAUGCACUGAUUUUUCAAAUCUCUCUGAUAUAUGAGAUGUUUUUCUAGAAGUCAGAAGUGCAUUGCAUUUUUGAACGUAAGAGAAUUGUUUCCCCCCUUUACUUUCUCGCACUCUUACAGGUGGCUAUGAUAUCCAAAUGCCCUCAAAGUAGUGGAGGGAGGGGGGCGCUCCGACUCACCAAUAAUGAUAGCUUUGCGCCCAAUUUUGCCUUAUUUUUUGCAGGGUCACAUUUGUUGAAUGUUUGUCUCUCUUGAAAUUUUUGAGCAUUUGAAAUUUCUGCAACAUUUUCCUGAAAUGUGUCAAUUUAUUUUUGAGUCUUUUGCCUUCUAAAUGAAGAUCGACCGUAAAGCGUAGGAGGAAGGAGAAAUUACAAAUAGUAAAAGAGUGUGCUAUUGCCGAAUGAAGGCAAAGAAACUACUUGCGUCAUUUUUCUAAUAUAUUCCACGAAGUCACAUGGCUUAGUAAUCCUUUAAUGUUUCUUUGUUUCUGUAGCCGCCACAAGAAGUUUUCACCCUUCAGCUACUGAUGAGCAUAUAAAACUCUAUGCCUCACAAUGGCUGACAAAAGCAAAAGAAAGAAUAACAUCCAAGUAAGAGCAUUGUUUUUAUUCUUAUCAUAAUAAGAUAGUUUAUUGUUCUAAUCUGCUCAGAAGGAUACGCAAAAUCUUGCUCUCAAAAUUCUAAAAAUGGUAGCCAUCUUAAUAUUUUUUAUUUCAACAAUGGAAAUUGUAAGAUGAGCAACAGUACCUAGUGAGAAAAGUCUUCACAAAUUAUUCUAGUCAGCGAGAUAAUUUUUUCCCGAAAUUUCAGCCAGUGCUUUGAUUUUAUCUUAUAGAGAAAAUCAACCAGCACGCUCACAAUCAGAGCCUUCUUUCAGAAAUAAAUUGUGGAGACCAAGACUUCAUUUCAUCCCUGCUUGUCAGAUUUCAACUUUUAAUAAUAUUUCCUAGGGGUAACGGCAACUCUUUUUCAUUGCUUCUCUCGGAGUUAGAAAUCAAUAUCUCUGUAUAUUGAGUGAGAGACAACACAAAUCUCCAGAGUAAGAGGGCUAUGAGUAGAUUAAUAAAAGGCCUUAUUUCAAGGUUUAUCCCAUGAAGGAUAUUGCCACUGAAGAGUACUUGUCUUGAAAUUUUCGUAAUAUAGGUGUCAUCUUUAAAGUGUUUUUUGUUUUAUCAGUGAUCCAUUUCUUUCAGAGCGAAAUCACACUCUUCCUUGGAAAAUAAUCAGUCAGAGGCAGAAAACGCUGUAAAUGAGCAAAACUCAGAAGAAUCCAUCAUACUCCAAGAAGACUUAUCUCAAAAUAACUUAAGACUUUCGCCUGAAUACUCUGCUCCUAAUAACCUCAGACAUGCGCCUGAAGAUUCCUUGCCAAAUGUUGCUGCAUGUGAUAUAGAUUUGCCUGAUUUCUCACAAAUUUGGGGCGAAGGUGAUGAUUAUGAAUCUGCAAGCGAACUUGUUGCUGAGGAAAGAUAUGAUGGGGAGAAUGAACGUGAUGAGAGGGAUAGAGAAGAACUUGAUGAUGAAGAAACAUAUUUCGAACGUGAUGAGAGUGAUAGAGAAGAACUUGAUGAUGACGAAACAUAUUUCAGGGGGGGCACUGAUUUUGUUGACAUGUUUCGUUGAUUUUUUGUGUCCUUUCCUUUUUAAUUUUUUACAUUAUUUGAAUAUUUAAUGCUACAGGUGAUACUAUCUAUUAACUUUUUUUAGUCCCUGCUCUUUUCUUACUUCCCUUUUAUAGUUAUUAGUAUGGAAAUCUAGUUCAAAUUGGUACUUUCUCAACAAUUUUGUGUUAACUGCUAUUUACUAGUUAUUAUUAUGAAAAAAAUUAAGUUCUACCAGUGUUCUCUCCAUUUGUUUUGUCACUGAUUGUAUUUUGUAAUUUCUUUAAUAUUUACUUCUAAUGAGUCAAACUUUCAUAACUAAGACUGAGAAAAGUUUCGAAGGGACUUUACUUUGUAAUUAACAUAAACCUGAAUGAGAGAGUUCAGCUGCUCUCUUCUAUUGUUGUCAUUUUAAUUUUCAUUUAUUUUUCACUUUUACAGUCAUUAUGCACCGCUGUUUUUCUAUAAAGGGGACUCGUCAAGGCUCUCUUUCAAUGAAGGCAAAUUCCAAAAGUUACCUUAGGCUUCUUUUCAUUUCUGUGUGCCAUCCGGUGUACGGAGAUGAAAAGUUAAUAUUAAUACACGGCAUAAUACUGAAAACUUGUUUUCAAGGUAUUUGAUAUCUUAUGCCAGUAAUUUGUUUUUUUAUCAUUCUUUCUUUUUUUGGACUUGACUGUAUGCUCACAAUGUGCCUAUUGCCCAUAGCCCACUUACUUUGAGCUCUCCUUUGAGCAUAGAAGUUUUUAGUCCGACUGAAUUUUUUAUAUUUUGUCACUUAGCUCACUAUGUAUCUUUAGUUUUCAAAUUUCUAUUUUUCCUUUUCGUUUCGUCCCCACUGUUUUGUUUGUUUAAUUUAAGUUUAGUUUUGUUUGGGUGAUUAAAUUGGUUCAACGCGCAUAAAUUUGGGUCACCUGCCUUUUCUUGUUAUUAGCAUUAGUUUAAAUUUAGUUGAAAUUGGUACUAAUGUUGAAAAUUCUGCGUUACCUUCUUCUAUUUAUCAAUAUGAAAAUUAAGUUCCUCCAGUGUUCUCCCUAUUAUUUUGUCGCUUAUUGUAUUCAGUUACCUCUUUACUAUUAACUUCUUGCAAUUCUAACGGUCAUAACUAAGAUUAACAUUUUGAGACUGAGAAAAGUGUCCCAAGAGACUUCUCAUUGUUUAUAAUAUGGUCUGAAACCUGACAGAAGAAGUUAAAUGGUAUUUUUAUUUUAAUUUCUUACCUUAGGCAUACUUAAUCAUUUCUAUGUGUGACCAAUAAAUGCAAGUAUUUUUCUGCAGAUGAUUGUAUCUGUUUGUUUAUUUGCUUUACUUCCAUCUAUCUUGCCCAAGUUGCGUACUGGUAACCCCAUUGCAAUGUUUCACAAUUGUUCUCAACAUUUGGAGCUUACUCACUGUAAAAGUUUCUGUUUAUUCCCUGUUAUUUUAACUUCCUAAACAAGAACUUUGAAAAUUUGUGUCAAAAUUGCACAUUGACUGACAGAUUUUUAUAAUUUAUAUGAUGGUUGAAUUUAUGAGACUGAAAAUCAGAUUUUGCACUCCAUUGCCAUUUUAUUUACUGGUGGAUUUGGCUUCCUCUCGUGGAAACUAUUUUAUACUUAUAUCACCGAAAAAAAAUGAAGUUAAUUUAACAUUCUGGAUGUAAAAAAAGUGUGCGAGAACUUACAAAAUGCUAAAAUACCUGCCACAGCAGUUACUUCAGCAAUGCCAAGGUGUAAAAGUAAGUGCUGUGGCGGGUAAUUCAGCAUUUAUAAGUUCUCGCACACUUUUUUUACAUUCAGAAUGUUAAUUUAACUUCCCUUUUUUUUUCGGUGUAUUCUCAGAAUAUUCUUCUCAGGAAUAUUCUGAGGAUAUUCUCUGAGUAUUCUAUUUAGUGCCACGAGAAUGUGCUCAGAUUAUUCUGAGAAUAUUCGAUGCAUCAGUAGAUCAUUCUCAGAAUAUUCUCAGAACAUUCCAUUUUUCCGGUGGAAUAUUCCUGGAAUAGUUCUAGAAUAUUCUAUUUUUCAAUAGAAUAUUCUUAGAGUAUUCUCAGAUUAUCUCCUUGCACAGGGGUAUCCUCUGGCGCGAAAAUGAAAAUGAACCUAUCAAAGAGUAUGUGUUAAAAAACAGUCACUUAUGGCACAAGUCCUGCACCUUUCCUCUCAAACAGGGUAAUGAAGCAAGUUGCCCAGGACGGAAAGCAGAAGUUUCCACUGACCUGUGAAUCGUUAGAAGACAAUAUUUACGUCGAUGAUUGGAUUUUUGGAAAUGACUCUGUCGAGGAAACCAUAGAGCAAAGGGAUGAAUCCAUACAAGUAGCAAAGAGUGGUGGUUUCGAGCUUAGAAAAUUUUCA
rnacentral:lncRNA from 1 species